UGCCAAAAGACCUGUCAUGUGCAAUCCUUACAAAUGCAUCAGUGGAUGUACGUGAUUUAAAAGGCAUCAACGAAGCUUUCGGUUAUGCAAACCUUGUUUAUUAAAGACCUAUGAACACAGGUAAAUAAAAUUCGAACCCUGGAUAUGCAGAUUCCAAACACACGUUCCUCAACGCCCAAUCUACUGUCAAAUCCGUACCGUCAAAUCAUGGAUCCAUCCCUGCUCUAGGACUGGAUUAGGCUGCGGGCUAGAUCUACAGCCAUGGCCAGUUAAAAUUGAAAUUAUGAGGAUGGUUCCCUACUUGAAUUUCACAAACCUUUCACUGAGAUGCAGACCGGCAUGCAAGACGAAAGUCAACAAACGCAACAAGAUGCGACAAGAAGAGAGGAAGUGUAGCAGAGGACAGAACAACUGAUAAAGGAGGUUUCAAAUAUGAAGGGGAUGCGGCACACGAUGGACCUUAUGUGAGUUGAGAUUGCAGGAUGAGGGCAGAAGUCAGGUCACUUAAAGUGGCGUACAAUAUGUGUUUGGCACCUUCAACUGGGAUAGCGGGGCGGAGCAGGAUGCAGAUUCUGCAUGCAGAAGAGUUCCUGCUUCUGCUGCUGCACACAGCAUGACUAUAGCUACCACUGCACGCAGAAUAGCACAAUACACCAGAGGCCUCCACUGCGCACAGUAAAGCAUCUGCCCACAGCACUACAGCAACUGCCUGCAGCCCUACAACAACUACCAACAGCACUAGAGCAACUGCCUGCAGCACUAGAGCAACUGCCUGCAGCACAACAGCAACUGCGCUUAGCACUACAGCAACUGCCUGUUACAUUACAGCAACUGCCCGCAGCACUGCAGCAACUGUCCGCAACAUUACAGCAACUGUCCGCAACAUAACAGCAACUGCCUGUAGCACUACAGCAACUGUCCGCAACAUUACAGCAACUGUCCGCAACAUUACAGCAACUGCCUGCAGCACUACAGCAACUGCCCGCAACAUUACAGCAACUGCCCGCAGCACUACAGCAAAUGCCCGCAACAUAACAGCAACUGCCCGCAGCGCUACAGCAACUGCCCGCAGCACUACAUUAGCUGCCGUGCAAACAGUCUAGAUUGGGGCCGCUUGCUGUCAGGAAAGAGUCGGCAUUUCUCCCGAAAUCGUUCGUUGUGGCGUUGAUAAAGAAUGAAGGCGACAGGAAAGCUCACUGUGGUGCAGUUUGCUACCUCCGAGCAAGGGAUGUUUUCUAUUAAUGAACGUUGUUUAGUGCAUCUCGAUAUAUUCAGUCGAAAACUAAACAUAUAGCAAUGAUCACUUAUUACCAUUGGUAGCACUUAUAUCAUAGGAAAUUUAACAUUGUUGGAAUAACAGUAUCGCGAUAUAUUGCCAUUUGUCCUUAAUGUAUCGCUAAAAAAUAAACAAACGACGAAUUCGUAAUAAUUUAUAUAUGGUCUUUUUAUGUAUAAUCAUACAACUUUUGUCCAUUUUCUUUUAUGUUUUAUAAUGGAUAAUUAAAAGU